UACGUAGGGUGCAAGCGUUGUCCGGAAUUAUUGGGCGUAAAGAGCUCGUAGGCGGUCAGUCGCGUCUGCUGUGAAAUCCCGAGGCUCAACCUCGGGUCUGCAGUCGAUACGGGCAAACUAGAGUAUUGCAGGGGAGACUGGAAUUCCUGGUGUAGCGGUGAAAUGCGCAGAUAUCAGGAGGAACACCGGUGGCGAAGGCGGGUCUCUGGGCAAUAACUGACGCUGAGGAGCGAAAGCGUGGGGAGCGAACAGG
rnacentral:rRNA from 1 species